AACGAACGCUGGCGGCAUGCCUAACACAUGCAAGUCGAACGAGACCUUCGGGUCUAGUGGCGCACGGGUGCGUAACGCGUGGGAAUCUGCCCUCUGGUACGGAAUAACUCAGGGAAACUUGAGCUAAUACCGUAUAAUGACUUCGGUCCAAAGAUUUAUCGCCUGAGGAUGAGCCCGCGUCGGAUUAGCUAGUUGGUGAGGUAAAAGCUCACCAAGGCGACGAUCCGUAGCUGGUCUGAGAGGAUGAUCAGCCACACUGGGACUGAGACACGGCCCAGACUCAUACGGGAGGCAGCAGUGGGGAAUAUUGGACAAUGGGCGAAAGCCUGAUCCAGCAAUGCCGCGUGAGUGAUGAAGGCCUUAGGGUUGUAAAGCUCCUUUACCCGGGAUGAUAAUGACAGUACCGGGAGAAUAAGCCCCGGCUAACUCCGUGCCAGCCGCCGCCGUAACAC
rnacentral:rRNA from 1 species